rnacentral:rRNA from 1 species
UUGAUAAGUCAGAUGUGAAAUCCCCGGGCUUAACCUGGGAACUGCAUCUGAAACUGUUAGGCUAGAGUAGGUGAGAGGGAAGUAGAAUUUCAGGUGUAGCGGUGAAAUGCGUAGAGAUCUGAAGGAAUACCGAUGGCGAAGGCAGCUUCCUGGCAUCAUACUGACACUGAGGCUCGAAAGCGUGGGUAGCAAACAGGAUUAGAUACCCUGGUAGUCCACGCCGUAAACGAUGUCUACUAGUCGUUGGGUCCCUUGAGGACUUAGUGACGCAGCUAACGCAAUAAGUAGACCGCCUGGGGAGUACGGCCGCAAGGUAAAAACUCAAAUGAAUUGACGG